rnacentral:lncRNA from 1 species
GUUGCUGAUUCAACUGCAACAACUCCAUGCAGAUUUAGGCGAACCUUCACCUUUAUUUUUGCCCGCUCACUCUUCAUUGAUUGAAAAGGACCAAUCUGUCCAUCAACAUAAGAAUAAUAAUUUAUAAUACUGAACCAAUCCAAUCAGUUGUAUACUUGUAUUGAACAUUAGAUUAUAAAUGAGGAGAAACAUCAACUGAAGUUGUCCUAUUAGGAAAUUUGAAUAGACGUGCAUACUGUAUAUGUGCUGAUCUUCGCUGGUGCCUGCAGUUCACUAACAUCAGCAUACUGAACAUCUAUUGUGAAUGUGCCAGGCCUGUAAAAUGUCAGAGCCUUCAC